UACGUAGGGACCAAGCGUUGUUCGGAUUUACUGGGCGUAAAGGGCGCGUAGGCGGCGUGUCAAGUCAAUUGUGAAAUCUCCGAGCUUAACUCGGAACUGUCAGCUGAUACUGAUGUGCUAGAGUGCGGAAGGGGCAAUCGGAAUUCUUGGUGUAGCGGUGAAAUGCGUAGAUAUCAAGAGGAACACCUGAGGUGAAGACGGGUUGCUGGGCCGACACUGACGCUGAGUGCGCGAAAGCCAGGGGAGCAAACGGG
rnacentral:rRNA from 1 species